CGCCUGCCUAUUUUCUGUGUACUCACUUCUUGGUUUAUUGUCUGUGUCUCCCACUAAAACGGGAGCUCCCUGAGCACAGGGACUUUGCCUUGCUUACUGCCAUAUCCUCAGCACCUAGAAGAGUGCCUGGCACUCAGCAAAUAUUAUUGAUUGAAUGAAUGAAAAGAAAGUACUUAAGUUGUGCCAGGUACAAAGUAGGCAUCUACUAUAUGCAGUUCAGUUACUAUUUUCAUUCACAUUUUCACCUAGAUUGGGAUGUGGUAAAGGCCAAAUAUGGGGCACGUCUCUACCCCUAAGGGUGGAAGAAAAAGGAAAGGUGCAUCUCACAGGCUAAAGUAGGCCCACAUGAGAUGUGCGUGACCUCAGGUAGCUAUGACCAUAUCCCUGAGUCCCGGUUUCCUGUUCCAUCAAAUGGGACACCCAUGCUUGUUCUGUGUUUCGCCAUUGCUGAGAAGGGUAUUCAGGCAGCCAUGUCUCUGCUGUUAUUUUGGCUCUUAGCUCAGAAGCAGAUGGGACCCAAGGACAGAUACCUGAGUGAGGUCACAACUGAGGGAUCUAAUGUCACCCUGACACGAGAGCAGAGUGGUCACCUCCUUAGUGAUACAGACACAAGGACAGCCCCCUCACCAACAGGGCACAUGCUGAGAGCUGCUGACAGUCCCUCAGUCAACAGAAUGUAGGUGUGAGGAGGUGCUGAUGGGGAUGAAACUGAGGCCCAGAGAGAAGAUACGGGAGCCCCAGAGCAGUUGAGGGCCACAGUUCAGAAGGCAGCUGCAAUAUCUCUCCUGGAGCCAGGUCUUAUCCAAAGAAACUUUCCUACAAGGCAAUGGCUUCAAUUCUGUGCUUUUCCUUUCAAGAGAGAACUGAGUUCAUUGAACUUACGGGCAAAUCUAUAUCCUUGUCCUUCCUUUGCGGAGAUAAUAAAGUUAAUGGGAUUAUUUCCUGUGUACAAGAAUAGGGCUGCUAAGGAAACAUUGUCGAGUAAAUGCUGUUUGCAAAGGCUAAACUGAAAGGCCAAAUCUUCCACGGGGAGGAAGUAAAGGGUGUGUCUGCACAGGCUCACGGGGAGCAGUGCCACCGGCGACUUGAUUUGCCUGAGCCUGACUUCCCCUCUGCCUCACUGGGCUCUGAUUCAUGCAGACGGCCAGAUGGCAGGGUUGCCAGGCCCAUUUCCCUGGUCUCCAAGGUAGCAGGUGAGUUGGCUAGUUGGUUAGUUUUUGGAAAAACAGAGUUUACCUUAGACUGAGAGAAGGCCCCAGCUGAACUUUAAAGAUUGGAUAACUUUUCUCCUUGAAUAUGGAGAAACUGAGGAUGCAGAGGGGGAGCUGGUCUCAGGUCACGUGGCCAGUUGUGGCAAGGCCUGGUGGGGAAGGAGACACAGAGAUGGAAAAUAACUUGCCUGGGUCAUAGAGCCAGCAGCUGGGUUGUAGUGGGGAAGCUGAGGCCCAGAGAGAAGGAAUGGCUUGCCAGGCUCCUACAGCCUCCCAGUGUCAAAGUUUGGGAUGGAACCAGGUCUUCAACUCCCAGGAGAGAGCGUGCUCUGUCAUCAGCCUGAGCUGCCAUCCUCCCCUACCACAGAGACAGCUAAGGGAAUCACUCAGGUGCAUUCCUGUUUGCGGAGUCUCAGUCAUCCCUGACUGGCUCGCCACACCUCAAGCCCAGCAGCCCCUUUAGAUCUUAUCAGCACAGCCCCCACGAUGGCUCCUCACGUAGACCAUCCUCAAACAGCAUCCGUGUGCACAGGUGCACCAGGUGGGUGGAGCUGAGGGACAUUCCAGCAGAGGGUAGACAAUGGCUGGGUUAAGAGGGCUAUCUUCUUUUCACACCUCCUGAUUUCCUUGAGUUUGUAAAUCAUUAUCCCAGGCUACACAAAGCAGGUAUUGAGUAGGCCUUGUUGCUGUCCCUAGACACAGUAGACAGAGGCUACUCGGCUCCGAGUGGCGGGUGGCAGCUCCCGGGCCCUCUGUCCCCUUCCCGGCACUGGGAUUGGGUUACCCCAUCUAAUCCCUGCUCCUCCAUCCACUCUCUUUGUGGCCAUUGUAAUUUAUAAUCGAGGGGCAUGAUGCAACCUGCUAAUUACAUUGCUUGAUUUUGAACACAUCCCGGCUUCUCUGACUCAGGCGGCAGAGGGAGGAGGGAGCAGCAGGCACUGCUUUGUGGCUUAUCAGGCUUGGGUUAUUCCGCUCACACCCGCUCACGCCUCCCCCCAUCCCUCAGCCUUUGUUAACCAGGGCUUGCAUCACCUCCUGCUUUCCAUUUCCCCAGAAUUUUUUAACGGCUUUUUUUUUUUUAUGAGCCGCUCUGUCUUGUUAGCUAAUGAAUGAUUGUGGAGCAGAUGGGGAUCGCUUUGUGCCUCUAUUAAAUGUUACAUGAUUGCAAUUAUGAGUUAACAAGGGACAGCUAAUAAAAAAAAUAAUUUUUGAGGCCUGAGGCAGACAUGAGACUCGUUGCCUGGUUCCCAGGCUGAAUAAAUCAGAGCCCCAAGGACCACAGGCUGGACAAGGA
ensembl:lncRNA